rnacentral:rRNA from 1 species
GAUGAACGCUAGCGGCAGGCUUAAUACAUGCAAGUCGAGGGGCAGCGCAGUGUAGCAAUACAUGGGCGGCGACCGGCAAACGGGUGCGGAACACGUACGCAACCUUCCUUUAACUGGGAGAUAGCCCACCGAAAGGUGGAUUAAUAUCCCAUAGUAUAUUUGAGUGGCAUCACUUAGAUAUUAAAGCUCCGGCGGUUAAAGAUGGGCGUGCGUCUGAUUAGGUAGUUGGCGGGGUAACGGCCCACCAACCCCACGAUCAGUAGCUGAUGUGAGAGCAUGAUGAGCCACACGGGCAAUGAGACACGGGCCCGACUCCGACGGGAGGCAGCAGUAAGGAAUAUUGGUCAAUGGACGCAAGUCUGAACCAGCCCUGCCGGAUGGAGGAUGAAGGUCCUCUGGAUUGUAAACUUCUUUUCUUUGGGACGAAACCCCUGUUUCUACGGGGACUGACGGUACCAGAGGAAUAAGCACCGGCUAACUCCGUGCCAGCCGCCGCGGUAAAAC